rnacentral:rRNA from 1 species
UGGCGGCAGGCCUAACACAUGCAAGUCGAGCGGUAGCACAGAGAGCUUGCUCUCGGGUGACGAGCGGCGGACGGGUGAGUAAUGUCUGGGAAACUGCCUGAUGGAGGGGGAUAACUACUGGAAACGGUAGCUAAUACCGCAUAACGUCGCAAGACCAAAGUGGGGGACCUUCGGGCCUCUUGCCAUCAGAUGUGCCCAGAUGGGAUUAGCUAGUAGGUGGGGUAACGGCUCACCUAGGCGACGAUCCCUAGCUGGUCUGAGAGGAUGACCAGCCACACUGGAACUGAGACACGGUCCAGACUCCUACGGGAGGCAGC